GGGAAGCGAGGAAGUGGAACCUGCCGAUUGCUAGCGUGUGGCUCCGACAUGUUGCAUUACGAAUCCCAGAUUUCCAGUGCGUAAGCAUAUCGUGAACACACCUCCUUUGCAUUCAGGUUUUAGUUCGAUCAUGAGGUCAUUGUGUAUGAGUAUAUAUGUAACAAUAUCAUAUGCUUCAGGCCAUUUAGUACAUGCGUAUGGGUAUAUAUGUACCAAUGUCAUAUGCUUCAGGUCAUGGAGUACAUUCAUGACGUUUUGACGAACACAUGCUAUCAGUUGCAAGUAACAGCAAUUCUCCCAUUUGGUGGAUUCAUCAUAAUGUGAAUAUAUAGGCCGGCGAACGCGGCGAUGCAGAGCUCGGCGUCGGAGGCCAGGAAGGCGGCACGGCACUGCAGGAACUGGGUUAUCAUGCCGCCAUCUGCCCUUGAUAGAAAUUGGAGAUGGCCCAUCCUGUUGAUUCCCCCUCUACUCUGCAUGUUCCGUUAUGUUUGAUUUUGAGGGAUGGCUCACGUCUUCACCUCUGGUCACAGAUUUAUAUAGGAAAAACUGGAUGGGCGUGGCCUCCCUGUAUUGUUGGCGGCACAAACUUCUGCAUUCAAGUUGAAGGACAAUGGACCCGAGGAGGCUAAGACUUGAUGAGUUCUUACUGAUCAGAUCAGCUAUAUAUCCGUUCAACAAUUAUUAAAAGCUGCAGAUAAUAGGAGACAAGCUGGAAUGGCAUAAUCUUGGCCUGGUGUUUAGAUAACCUUGUAAUCUCAUCUUUAGGCAUAUUUUGUACAGAAAAGUUUUGUGUUUGCCUUCCUGAUUUGGUCUGAUGGAUGAUCAAGCUGCCGAGGCAUUCCAUCCCUUCUCCAUUUAAUAGGCUAAGGUGAGUUGUCUAGCAUUACUCCAUUUAAAUGAUGAAUCACCCUUAAAUAUCAGGGGUUGGAGACUAACAUAACACUGGAAAUUUUUAUUGGUUGAGUUCAGCAUUUAUCACAUUGCUAAACACUUUCAAGCAGCUGGACCACAAUAUGUAAGUUUGGAUUAGUCGAGUUACUUGUUGGUUCUGUUUAUAUUUACCAUAAUUUCUGAACUUUAAAAGUUCUCAAGUGAAUUUACUUACUAUAAGAUAAGAAAUCAGUGCUUCCAUGUAAUAAAUAAUUCAAACUGUGUUCAAAUUUAUGUAAUGUCUGUUCAUAUAAUAUAAUCUUAACAUAUAUGGACAUUUAUUGGUACAUGGUAAAAUGACAAAUUUAUUCUCUAUAUGGUAGAUUAGGUUUUCUGAUACUCUACUGCAGUGAACAAGGGUUACACAACGUGCUAGUUUUGAUUUAUACUUUUAUGAUACUAGCACUGGGAGAAUAUAUAUACUUGAAGAUUGAUAUUUAUAAAGGAAAUAUUGGGUGCUACUAGCUCCAUAAUAGGUGAAUUGAUCUCAUCUACAGUAGUACUCUUUGCUUGAUCCAUACCUUUUUUUUAGAUUAUAGUCACUCAGCUAGAUUAGUUGACUUGUUGGAAAACAUAGCAAGUUAGUUGACAGAAAGCCACUCAAAGUAGGUCCCACUCAACUGAAUUGUGAGCUUUAUCUAUACUAUGAAUGUGGUUUGUAUGAUUGAUGUGCUUGUGCUCAACUUUAAAACUAAUUUGCAGCCAAAUGAGCUUCUAUUUUUUUAUUUGUUUAAAUGAUCUUGUUGGAUGACCAGUUGGUAAAAGGAGCUGUUAACCAGUUGGUAAAAAGAGCUGUUAACUUCAGUCUGUCUAUAUUGUUAACCUGAUUCCUCUAACGUGUGUUUUUAUUCAUUCAUAAACGUAUUUUUUUCCUGAGAUACUGAAUUCAUGCAUUAAUGUGAACUGGUUAUGUCUACAUGACAGCUGAAUGGAAAAGUAGACAGAUACAUUGAAUUGGUAACUGAGUAAGUGUUUCAUUUUUCUCAAACCAAUAAAACUCGUGCCUGUACUAGAACUCAAAAUUAAAAUUGCUGAAAACCAGCUAUCAUUCAAACAAGUCAGCAUGAAAUAUCUUUGCAUUGUUUAUCCUGACAAAUAUUGAGAACAGAGGGAAAAUCCAAAGGGAGAAAAGAGAGCUCGGCCACCAGCCCAAAGUCUGAAAAUUUUAGAUUAAUUAACCUUUCCGCCACUUUGCCGAUGUAAUUAGUCUAGAAGUCACAAGUGUUUUGGUAUUUCUUAAGACUGUAAACAUGAUAUACUUGCAAUGUUACCAGCUUCGGAAAAUCUGAUUUUAUUGUAA